UACAGGAGCGGCAGACGGGAGAGUAACACGUGGGAACGUGCCUUUUGGUUCGGAACAACUGAGGGAAACUUCAGCUAAUACCGGAUAAGCCCUUACGGGGAAAGAUUUAUCGCCAAAAGAGCGGCCCGCGUCUGAUUAGCUAGUUGGUGAGGUAACGGCUCACCAAGGCGACGAUCAGUAGCUGGUCUGAGAGGAUGAUCAGCCUCAUUGGGACUGAGACACGGCCCAA
rnacentral:rRNA from 1 species